CAAUAGCGUAUAUUAAAGUUGUUGCAGUUAAAAAGCUCGUAGUUGGAUUUGUGGCGUACGGUGGGUUCCGGGCACUUGUUGUCUGAGUAACUUGCUGUUGCCAUCCUUGGGUGGAACCUGUGUGGCAUUAGGUUGUCGUGCAGGGGAUGCCCAUCAUUUACUGUGAAAAAAUUAGAGUGUUCAAAGCAGGCUUAUGCCGUUGAAUAUAUUAGCAUGGAAUAAUGAGAUAGGACUUUUUUGCUAUUUUGUUGGUUUGCGCAAAGAGGUAAUGAUUAAUAGGGACAGUUUGGGGUAUUCGUAUUCCAUUGUCAGAGGUGAAAUUCUUGGAUUUUUGGAAGACAAACUACUGCGAAAGCAUUUACCAAGGAUGUUUUCAUUAA
rnacentral:rRNA from 1 species